GUUGGUCUUUGAAGUCUAUUGCACUGGUUCUGGCCCAGAUGCAUGGGCCUCCAAAACAAUUCCAAUUUUGAAUUAUAAAGCUUUAUACAUCUUUGGAUCCCCAUACCUUAUGGAGCAUUGCUUCCUGUAUGAACUUGCCUGGAUUCUUAGGUCAUCAUCGGAAUCCAGAGGCCUUCUUCCUAGCGCCCCCUCUGGCAGAGGUGGAAGAGUGGCUACAAGAGAUGGAGCCUUUUUGAUAGUGGCUCCUUGACUGUGGAAUGCUUGUCCAAGGGAGGCCCGCCUGGUGCUAUCUUUUUGAAGCCACGCCAAGAUUUUCCUCUACUCCCAGGAAGCUUUUCCUGAUAUCCAGUCGAAAUCUGGCUUCCUGCAACUUGAGCUCAUUAUUCUGUGUCCUGCACUCUGGGAAGAUCGAGAAGAGAUCCCGGCCCUCCUCUGUGUGGCAACCUUUCAUGUACUCCACAAGCUAGAGGGAGCCCCAGCUGACAAAGCAUCAAGGUGACAAGCUGCACACAGAGAUGCCCUCACAUUGGCCACACAGAAAGUCUUGCUCUGAGUUGCUGUGGAAGCAGGCUUCUUAUAUUUUAAGGACAUCAAGUAGAAACUCUCCUGCAGGAUGCAGUGACCGACUAUGUAAGGGUGUAAAAUUUGUCUGACAGCCCAUGAAGUGGAAGUCUUCAACGCACACACAGACUACAGCAAGAAUGCUCCAUCCAGAAUGCCGCUUCAGUCGAGAAAGGGAAGUUCAUGCAAGAGAAUAAUACUUUGUAUUCUUGACUCAAUAUUUUGGCGAUGUUGCUGUGGAAGUCACUCUGCCACCGUGACAGAUGCUUCCAUGAACAGGGGGGUGGGAUAAAUUCCUUGGUCAGACCUGUUUGAUGCUCAGGGCAAAUUUAUGAAAACAGGAGGCAACAGGGCUGGCAGGGUUAUGUCAAGCUGUCUUUUAUUUACUUAGUCCAUUUAUAUACCGCUUAUACUAAAUAAAACUCUAAG